AGAGUUUGAUCCUGGCUCAGGACGAACGCUGGCGGCGUGCCUAACACAUGCAAGUCGAGCGGUAAGGCCCUUCGGGGUACACGAGCGGCGAACGGGUGAGUAACACGUGAGCAACCUACCCUCAACUUUGGGAUAAGCCUCGGAAACGGGGUCUAAUACCGAAUAAUAACCCUGCUCUCCUGUGUGGGGUUUGAAAGUUCUGGCGGUUGGGGAUGGGCUCGCGGACUAUCAGCUUGUUGGUGGGGUAAUGGCCUACCAAGGCUUCGACGGUUAGCCGGCCUGAGAGGGCGACCGGCCACACUGGGACUGAGACACGGCCCAGACUCCUACGGGAGGCAGCAGUGGGGAAUAUUGCGCAAUGGGCGAAAGCCUGACGCAGCAACGCCGCGUGAGGGAUGACGGCCUUCGGGUUGUAAACCUCUUUCAGCAGGGACGAAGCGAAAGUGACGGUACCUGCAGAAGAAGGACCGGCCAACUACGUGCCAGCAGCCGCGGUAAUACGUAGGGUCCGAGCGUUGUCCGGAAUUAUUGGGCGUAAAGGGCUCGUAGGCGGUAUGUCGUGUCGGGAGUGAAAACUCGGAGCUUAACUCCGAGCCUGCUUCCGAUACGGGCAGACUAGAGGUAGGCAGGGGAGAGCGGAACUCCUGGUGUAGCGGUGGAAUGCGCAGAUAUCAGGAAGAACACCGGUGGCGAAGGCGGCUCUCUGGGCCUUACCUGACGCUGAGGAGCGAAAGCGUGGGUAGCGAACAGGAUUAGAUACCCUGGUAGUCCACGCCGUAAACGUUGGGCGCUAGGUGUGGGGGACAUUCCACGUCC
rnacentral:rRNA from 1 species